UUGAUUUAAAUUUACACAUACAUAAUUCAUAUACAGAUCUUAACUUAAUAUUAAUAUACAUACAUAUGUAUCGCCUGACACAUGUGCCACACAGCUCAGUUUUGCGUAGAGCAUUAUUCCAUCACAUCGCGACUCAUUUAGGUCCACGACGCCCCUCCACUACACCCCUGCUAAAUUCGCCCCCUUUAAAUGACGCAAUAUUCUCAUGUGAACAUUUUAUUCUGACGAGGCGACGAGAAUAACAUGUCAAAUUUAUAAUGCCUACAAUUGCGUUUUUUAUGGCCGUAGCCGACGCGACGACAGCGGCAAGGAAAACAAAAACAUGUUCGUAAACUUAAUCUUACUCAUUUUAAGAAGUCGAAAAGUAUUUCCUGUACUUAAUUGUCAACCAAUUAUUUAAAUUCGGGCAUUUUUAUAUAUCACGGCGAUAUUUAUAUAUAAUCUGCAAGAGCAUCGACGCGAGCGUGGCAAAAUUAUUGCUGCUUCGGCUAUAAUCAUAUUGCCAGAUGCAAAACCAACGCCUUAGGCGUCUUAGCAGGGGGGCGUGGCCUUAUGGCGCUAGACGGAUAAAUGUUUUCCAAAACGGAACACGAGCAAUUUGAAAUUUUUUACGACUUGCUGAACUAAUUACACGAAUAUUUCAUCUAA